GACGAACGCUGGCGGCGUGCUUAACACAUGCAAGUCGAACGGAAAGGCCCUGCUUGCAGGGUACUCGAGUGGCGAACGGGUGAGUAACACGUGGGUGAUCUGCCCUGCACUUCGGGUUAAGCCUGGGAAACUGGGUCUAAUACCGGAUAGGAGCCAUUUUUAGUGUGAUGGUUGGAAAGUUUUUUCGGUGUAGGAUGAGCUCGCGGCCUAUCAGCUUGUUGGUGGGGUAAUGGCCUACCAAGGCGGCGACGGGUAGCCGGCCUGAGAGGGUGGACGGCCACAUUGGGACUGAGAUACGGCCCAGACUCCUACGGGAGGCAGCAGUGGGGAAUAUUGCACAAUGGGCGCAAGCCUGAUGCAGCGACGCCGCGUGGGGGAUGACGGCCUUCGGGUUGUAAACUCCUUUCGCUAGGGACGAAGCUUUUUGUGACGGUACCUAGAUAAGAAGCACCGGCUAACUACGU
rnacentral:rRNA from 1 species